GAAAGAAAGUUAGCUUCCCACCCCCGGCAGCUGCAGUGAUUGGAAAACGAGCCUGAGCCUUUUCACCGAAAAGAAUAUAUCAUUAUCCGUUGGGUUCGCCCUACUUCCCUGUUAAGAAUCACCUGAAGUGCCUAAAAAUCCGCGAGUUUCAGGGCUUUUCCCUGGAAAUAAUGAUUUAGAACGUCCUGGGGGAGGGCCUAGGAGUCUGUGGGUUUAAUAAGCACCUCCAGGAUUUGUGUCUUCGGGCAAGCAUUGAAAAAUCCUGGAACUUUCAAUAUUUAUGUAGCCAAAGUGUCUCUCUUGCUCACUCACUUGCUUGCUUGUGUACCACUAAUUGAGCAACUACUAUGGGCCAGAUGCUCUGGAAAAUGUUGUUCUGAAGAGGAGUACUAAUCUUCACCAGUGGUGCACCUAGCUGUAUUUUG
rnacentral:lncRNA from 10 species